rnacentral:tRNA from 7 species
GCGCCCAUAGCUCAAUGGAUAGAGCGUAAGCCUCCGGAGCUUAAAAUAGAGGUUCGAUUCCUCUUGGGCGCA